AGAUGGAUUUUGAGUAGGGUGAUUCACCAAACUUUUUGUUUUUGUUUUUGUAUUGUAAUUAAUUUUACACAAUUUUUAAUUCUUAGGAGUAGGUUAAAAGUAGAUUUUUAUAUUUUUUUCUUUUUUGUUUAAAAUUUUCAUUGUAGGAACCUUGCAUGAAAGAAGCAUGACAUUUACAAGCUUGUAAUGAAUAAAGAAAGAAAGC
rnacentral:lncRNA from 1 species